GACGAACGCUGGCGGCGCGCCUAACACAUGCAAGUCGAACGAGAGAGAAGGAGCUUGCUUCUUCGAUCGAGUGGCGAACGGGUGAGUAACGCGUGAGGAACCUGCCUCAAAGAGGGGGACAACAGUUGGAAACGACUGCUAAUACCGCAUAAGCCCACGGGUCGGCAUCGACCAGAGGGAAAAGGAGUGAUCCGCUUUGAGAUGGCCUCGCGUCCGAUUAGCUAGUUGGUGAGGUAACGGCCCACCAAGGCGACGAUCGGUAGCCGGACUGAGAGGUUGAACGGCCACAUUGGGACUGAGACACGGCCCAGACUCCUACGGGAGGCAGCAGUGGGGAAUAUUGCACAAUGGGGGAAACCCUGAUGCAGCGACGCCGCGUGGAGGAAGAAGGUCUUCGGAUUGUAAACUCCUGUUGUUGAGGAAGAUAAUGACGGUACUCAACAAGGAAGUGACGGCUAACUACGUGCCAGCAGCCGCGGUAAAACGUAGGUCACAAGCGUUGUCCGGAAUUACUGGGUGUAAAGGGAGCGCAGGCGGGAAGACAAGUUGGAAGUGAAAUCCAUGGGCUCAACCCAUGAACUGCUUUCAAAACUGUUUUUCUUGAGUAGUGCAGAGGUAGGCGGA
rnacentral:rRNA from 1 species